GAUGAACGCUGGCGGCGUGCCUAAUACAUGCAAGUCGAGCGAACGGACGAGAAGCUUGCUUCUCUGAUGUUAGCGGCGGACGGGUGAGUAACACGUGGAUAACCUACCUAUAAGACUGGGAUAACUUCGGGAAACCGGAGCUAAUACCGGAUAAUAUUUUGAACCGCAUGGUUCAAAAGUGAAAGACGGUCUUGCUGUCACUUAUAGAUGGAUCCGCGCUGCAUUAGCUAGUUGGUAAGGUAACGGCUUACCAAGGCAACGAUGCAUAGCCUACCUGAGAGGGUGAUCGGCCACACUGGAACUGAGACACGGUCCAGACUCCUACGGGAGGCAGCAGUAGGGAGUCUUCCGCAAUGGGCGAAAGCCUGACGGAGCAACGCCGCGUGAGUGAUGAAGGUCUUCGGAUCGUAAAACUCUGUUAUUAGAGAAGAACAUAUGUGUAAGUAACUGUGCACAUCUGGACGGUACCUAAUCAGAAAGCCACGGCUACCUCCGU
rnacentral:rRNA from 1 species